UCCCUGGUGGCUGAGAGGUAAAGAAUCUGCCUGCCAAUGCAGGAGACCUGGGUUCAAUCCCUGGCUUGGGAA
rnacentral:tRNA from 1 species